CAUGAACGCUGGCGGCGUGCCUAAUACAUGCAAGUCGAGCGAACAGACGAGGAGCUUGCUCCUCUGACGUUAGCGGCGGACGGGUGAGUAACACGUGGAUAACCUACCUAUAAGACUGGGAUAACUUCGGGAAACCGGAGCUAAUACCGGAUAAUAUAUUGAACCGCAUGGUUCAAUAGUGAAAGACGGUUUUGCUGUCACUUAUAGAUGGAUCCGCGCCGCAUUAGCUAGUUGGUAAGGUAACGGCUUACCAAGGCAACGAUGCGUAGCCGACCUGAGAGGGUGAUCGGCCACACUGGAACUGAGACACGGUCCAGACUCCUACGGGAGGCAGCAGUAGGGAAUCUUCCGCAAUGGGCGAAAGCCUGACGGAGCAACGCCGCGUGAGUGAUGAAGGUCUUCGGAUCGUAAAACUCUGUUAUUAGGGAAGAACAAAUGUGUAAGUAACUAUGCACGUCUUGACGGUACCUAAUCAGAAAGCCACGGCUAACUACGUG
rnacentral:rRNA from 1 species